rnacentral:misc_RNA from 1 species
AACUUUCAGCAAUGUAUCUCUUGGCUCUCGCAUCGAUUAAGAACGCAGCGAAAUGCGAUAAGUAAUGUGAAUUGCAGAAUUCAGUGAAUCAUCGAAUCUUUGAACGCACCUUGCGCUCCUUGGUAUUCUGAGGAGCAUGCCUGUUUGAGUGUCAUGAAAUUCUCAACUGCUUUAGCUUUUGUGGUUGAAGUAAAGUUGGAUUUGGAGGAAUAAUUGCUGGCGUAACCUUUUAAGGUUGCUUGUUAGCUCCUCUUAAAUGGAUGAACUUUCCAGUAGUGUAAAAGUAACACCAAUGUGAUAAUUAUCUACGUUGGAUGAACUUGUACAAGGAAAGAUGAAUCUGUCUUGGACCCCCUUGACGAAACAAAUGACAAAUUUGACCUCAAAUCAGGUAGGACUACCCGCUGAACUUAAGCAUAUCAAUAAGCGGAGGCU